GAUGAACGCUAGCGGCAGGCUUAAUACAUGCAAGUCGUAGGGCAGCAGGUUUGUAGCAAUACAGAUGCUGGCGACCGGCAAACGGGUGCGGAACACGUACACAACCUUCCUUUAAGUGGGGAAUAGCCCAGAGAAAUUUGGAUUAAUACCCCGUAACAUUAUGAUGUGGCAUCACAUUAUGAUUAUAGCUACGGCGCUUAAUGAUGGGUGUGCGGCUGAUUGGGUAGUUGGCGGGGUAACGGCCCACCAAGCCUGCGAUCAGUAACUGGUGUGAGAGCACGACCAGUCACACGGGCACUGAGACACGGGCCCGACUACUACGGGAGGCAGCAGUAAGGAAUAUUGGGCAAUGGAGGAAACUCUGACCCAGCCAUGCCGCGUGGAGGAUGAAGGUCCUCUGGAUUGUAAACUUCUUUUAUGUGGGACGAAAAAGGGUCUUUCUAGGUCAACUGACGGUACCAUAUGAAUAAGCACCGGCUAACUCCGUGCCAGCCGCCGCCGUAACAC
rnacentral:rRNA from 1 species